UUUUACUGUUGAAUUAAAAAUAAUUCCCUUAUUUUAACUUUACAUUUUUGAUAUCACUCUGAAAUGUUUUUGACUUAUCUUUUUUACGUUAUUGUAUUGUGUUUUUCAUAGAAUGGAAGGAAACACUCAAUGCCUCAAGUGCAGCAACACAGUUUAGAAGAUGUUUGUUGAGAGAGCAAGAGCUGGAGACACCUAUUCGCUUCUCAAUGGACCUAGCAUCAGAUGUUGGAGACAGAGAAAAGGCAGUUCUCGCUUUCUACAAGAUCAAAAGAACAAAAUGGGCUGCCCCACUUCACUGUGUGCUCGAAGGUGAUGCAGCAAUAGGUGAUGGCGUAAGUCGCUAUUUCCUCAGCUUUGCCAUGAACGCUUUACUGUCCGGAUUCAGCAUAAAUUUUGGUAAUGCUGAUGUGACAAUGCUCUUUGAGGGGCAAAAGGAUCACCUCAUCCCCUGCGCAUCACAGCCACUAUUGGACUCUGACCUAUUUAUGAUGACAGGCAGAAUGGUGGGGCAUUCCUUCAUUCACGGUGGCCCAGGUUUGGCAGGCAUCAGUCCUGCUGUCGUCCAUAUGCUCUUAGGGGGGCAAUUGGAGACAGCAACAUUGGUCCCUGAGGAUAGUGUUCCUCUGAUCUUGAUCAGAGGAACACUAUCCACUCGGUAAUGUCUGUUUCUGUAGCUUUUUUUGGUAUGUGUGUGCGGUAAAAUAAAGGACUGAUGUGGAGGACUUUUUUCUCCACUACAGCUGGAAGGCAUUAAUGCGCUGUCUGAGGACCAGAAGGCUGAUGUCAAUAGCCUGACAGACAUGUGGGAGCUGCCACGACUGACUGAUAAGAACAGAAGAUAUCUUCAUCAGCAGCUUUUGCAGCAUGCGGUAAUGGAAGACUUUGUUGAAAUGUAUACAUUUUAACAUACAGUAACUCAAUACUUGGCUGUUUCUGAAUCUGUCUUUUUAUAUUAAUUUAUUUAAAAAAAGGAUAAAUAUGCUAAAUAUUUGGAUAAAAAAAUUAUCACAGAGAAAAAAGUUACAUUUCAUUCAAUUCAGAUCUUACCUUUGUGCAAAUAUUCAGUGCACCAAUCAAUGGACUGCUGUGUCUAGCUCAAACUUUUUGGGACGUCUAGGUACCCCCAUUGAAAGGGUGACGUAAGCCUUAGGUUCCCACUGAGCGUAUUGGUGCUGAUUGCAUGUAUUUAUUUUGAAAAGGCACUGCAGUCCAUGAAUUGUAACUUUGGGAACAGACAGGAGCCCAGGACAGCAUUCUAAAACCACUGAUUGGGCAUGGUCCUUGGUAUUUGCCAUCCACAAUAGAGAAGAUAAUCCAACGCUAAUUUAAGUCAUGCUCUCACCCUGUAUUUCCUUGUGGAUACAAGGACACACUUCCAGACACUUCCUUGUCAGUGGUGGGGAAUUAAAGGAAUAUUUUUGAGACCCAAAUUACAGAAUAAACACAGGCCAUUAUAUGAUUCCUGACAUCUGUUUUAAUUACAUUCGACUAAUGGUUUCAAAGGAGCUCAGAAGCCCAACAACAUGCUACAUUAGCUACAACCCACAUUAUUGACUUUUCUUCACAUUCUCAGUUACUGUUAUGUCAUGUGAAAUGUAUGUUUUUUGUGUGUAUGUGUGUUUAAGAUUCUGGGAAGAACUUCUUCUCAAAUAAAACAAAUGAGAAAGGGUCUUAAAGAAACUGACGUGUGGCCGAUAUUAUCAGAAAGAAAAGAUGUGGCUGAAGCUGUCUUCCCAUCUGGGAAAGAAGUGAUCUGCAGCCCCCAGGUCAUGAUUGAUCACAUCAUCUGGCCGACUGAGUCAGUCGAUGAAGAAGACAAGGACUAUCCUCUUGAGACAAGAGCCAAGGUUGGGAUGUUCCUCCAGCAGUUCAUUGAAACUGGUAUGCCAUUCCCAUAUACCUCUCAUUAUGAAGACGUCAAAGAAUGAUGACAGUAUUUUUAGAAUAGCCCACAGCUUAAGGCUACAAUUUUGUUUGUAUGACCUACCAUUUUCACAGCAGUAAAAAUAUAUGUUCCUGUCUUUGUUCCUUAAUUAUUUAUGCUAAUUAACUAUUUUUUUGUAGCUCCAGCAGUGUCUCGCUUAAACCUACACCGGUUUUGGACUGGGUGGGAAGUGUUAUCUGGGAUGCUGAAAGUGGAGGUUGUGCGUGGGAAGUUCCCCAAAUCCUCCACCUGUUACAUGUGCCUCCGCAUCCCUGGCCACCUCUCAGCUUAUGACGAUUUUAAACAAGCUCUUGAGGCAUCCAUCGGGACGUGGGAUACGGGAUUUGGACUUGUAUAAUGCUGCUGG